rnacentral:rRNA from 1 species
CAUGCAGUUGAUGGGGAAGUGGUGCUUGCACCAUGGUUAACCAUGGCGGACGGGUGAGUAACGCGUAAGGGACUUACCUGCAGGACUGGGAUAACAGGGGGAAACUCCUGACAAGACCGGAUAAUGUCAUGGAGCUGCAUGGCUUUAUGAUGAAAGGAGACGCCUGCGGAGAGCCUUGCGUCCUAUUAGCUAGUUGGUGAGGUAAAGGCUCACCAAGGCGAAGAUAGGUAGCCGGCCUGAGAGGGUGGACGGCCACAAGGGGACUGAGAUACGGCCCUUACUCCUACGGGAGGCAGCAGUGGGGAAUAUUGGACAAUGGGGGCAACCCUGAUCCAGCAAUUCUGUGUGCACGAAGAAGGUUUUCGGAUUGUAAAGUGCUUUCAGCAGGGAAGAAGGAAGUGACGGUACCUGCAGAAGAAGCGACGGCUAAAUACGUGCCAGCAGCCGCGGUAAUACGUAUGUCGCGAGCGUUAUCCGGAAUUAUUGGGCAUAAAGGGCAUCUAGGCGGCCUGACAAGUCAGGGGUGAAAACCUGCGGCUCAACCGCAGGCCUGCCUUUGAAACUGUGAGGCUGGAGUACCGGAGAGGUGGACGGAACUGCACGAGUAGAGGUGAAAUUCGUAGAUAUGUGCAGGAAUGCCGAUGAUGAAGAUAGUUCACUGGACGGUAACUGACGCUGAAGUGCGAAAGCCGGGGGAGCGAACAGGAUUAGAUACCCUGGUAGUCCCGGCUGUAAACGAUGAUUACUGGGUGUGGGCAGGAAGACUGUCUGUGCCGAAGCAAAUGCGAUAAGUAAUCCGCCUGGGGAGUACGGCCGCAAGGCUGAAACUCAAAGGAAAUUGACGGGGGACCCGCACAAGCGGUGGAGCAUGUGGGUUUAAUUCCACGCACGCCAGGAACCUUACCAGAUCUUUGACUUCCCGCGAAUGCCCCGUGA